rnacentral:rRNA from 1 species
UACGGAGGGUGCGAGCGUUGUCCGGAAUCACUGGGCGUAAAGGGCGCGUAGGCGGCCUGAUAAGUAGGGGGUGAAAUCCUGCGGCUUAACCGCAGGGCUGCCUUCUAAACUGUCAGGCUAGAGCACAGUAGAGGCAGGUGGAAUUCCCGGUGUAGCGGUGGAAUGCGUAGAGAUCGGGAAGAACAUCAGUGGCGAAGGCGGCCUGGCUGGGCUGUUGCUGACGCUGAGGCGCGACAGCGUGGGGGAGCAAACAGG